AUGCCAUUUCAUGACUUCCAUCACUUCAUCUCAUCUGUAUGUGGAUUAAUGAAGCGUCUGUGUUUACUGCCUAAGCAUUUUUUAAGACAUCUGUGCACACACACACACACACACACACACACACACACACACACACACACACACACACACACACACAGUCACACAGUCGCACUCACACACACACACACAGUCACACAGUCGCACUCACACACACACACACAGUCACACUCACAGUCUCACACACACACGCAGUCACACACACACACGCAGUCACACGCAGUCACACACACACGCAGUCACACACACACACACACACGCAGUCUCACACACACACACACACAGUCACACAGAAAAAAAACACCAAAACAAGAAGUCAACCAAAAACAAAGAAGUAAACAAAAAAACAAGCAGAAAAAAAAAAAAACACAAACACAACACACACACACACAGUCACACACGCAGUCACACACACACACACAGCAGUCACACACACACACACACACACACACACACAGUCACACACGCAGUCACACACACACACACACACACACACUGUCACACACACACACGCAGUCACACACACACAGUAACACACAGUCACACACACACGCAGUCACACAUAGUCACACACACGCAGUAACACACACGCAGUCACACACACACGCAGACACACACGCAGUCACACGCAGUCACACGCAGUCACACACACACAGUCACACGCAGUCACACACACACAGUCACACGCAGUCACACACUGUCACACACACUCACACACACUGUCACACACAGUCACACACAGUCACACACACUGUCGCACACACAGUCACACACUCUCUCACACACACACACACACACACACAGUCACACACACGCAGACACACACACAGUCACACGCAGUCACACACACACACAGUCACACACUGUCACACACACUCACACGCACUGUCACACACACAGUCACACAAAGUCACAUUCUCACACACACAGUCAGUCACACACACACACACAGCAGUCACACACACACACACACAGACUCACACACACAGUCACACACAGUCACACUCUCACACACACAGUCGCACUCUCACACACAGUCACACUCACAGUCACACACACGCGCGCAGUUUCACACACACACACACACACACGCAGUCACACACACACAGUCACACAUACACACACAGUCACACAUACACACAGCAGUCACACACACACACACAGCAGUCACACACACACACACACACACACAGUCACACACACGCACUUACACACACACACAGUCACACACAGUCACACUUUCACACACACACGCAGUCACACACACACUGUCACACGCAGUCACACACACACUGUCACACACAGUCACACACACUAUCACACACACAGUCACACGCAGUCACACACUGUCACACACACUAUCACACACACAGUCACACGCAGUCACACACUGUCACACACACUCACACACAGUCACACACACUGUCACACACAGUUACACACACUGUCACACACAGUCACACACACUGUCACACACAGUCACACACACUGUCACACACUCUCACACACACACAGUUACACACAUUCACACUCUCACAAACACAGUCCCACUCUCACACACACACAGUCACACUCACAGUCACACACACGCGCGCAGUCUCACACACGCGCGCAGUCUCACACACACACACACAGUCACACACACUGUCACACACACAGUCACACACACUGUCACACACUCUCACACACACAGUCACACACUCUCACACACACAGCCACACAAAGUCACACUCUCACAUACAAAGUCACACUCUCACAUACAAAGUCACACUCUCACAUACACAGUCACACUCUCACAUACACAGUCACACACAGUCACAGUCACACACACACACACACACACACACACACACACACACACACACACACACACACACACACACACACACACACACACACACACACACACACACACACACACACACACACACAGCUGGGAGCGUAAUGGGCCAGAUGCCACAGGCUCAACACGAGGUGGGCUGA
ensembl:lncRNA